rnacentral:rRNA from 1 species
UCGAACGGGUGCUAUCUGCCCGCAAGGGUGGAUAGCGCUAGUGGCGGACGGGUGAGUAACACGCGCAACCUGCCUGAGAGUGCGGAAUAGCCCUGCGAAAGCAGAGCUAAUACUGCAUGUGGUUGUCGGAUGGCAUCAUCUGACAACUAAAGUCGCAAGACGCUCUCAGAUGGGCCCGCGGCCUAUUAGCUAGUUGGUGAGGUAACGGCCCACCAAGGCAGAGAUGGGUAGCUGGUCUGAGAGGACGGACAGCCACACUGGGACUGAGACACGGCCCAGACUCCUACGGGAGGCAGCAGUGAGGAAUUUUCCGCAAUGGGCGAAAGCCUGACGGAGCAACGCCGCGUGAGGGAUGAAGUCUCUAGGGAUGUAAACCUCUGUUGGGUGGGACGAAGAUCUGACGGUACCACCUGAGGAAGCCCCGGCUAACUACGUGCCAGCAGCCGCGGUAAUACGUAGGGGGCGAGCGUUAUCCGGAUUUACUGGGUGUAAAGAGCGCGUAGGCGGUUCCGUAAGUUGGUUGUGAAAGUUCGA